UCAUGCUUACUGUCGCAGUGCGUGAUGUACCGUCAGCCAUAACAGCUGUUGUCUCAAACUUUGUUUUCUCAUUUGCGUUAACGUAAAGUCACAUGGUAAAAAGAGAUACUUGUCACAUUGCUGAGGCACGUUGCUGGAAUCAUAAACGGUGGUUACAGUGGACGCAGGAACCAUGUUGAUUAAGGCCAGACUUGGUGAUGUCCAAAAAUUUGUUAGAAUAACAGAGCUGGAUCUGAAAGAGUUUUUGAUUGCAGCAUUUGCAAAGUUUGGUGUGCCAGCUGUGACAGAGGGUGUAAAGGUUGUUGACAGCUCGGGGACUGAGUUGGAUGACGAUGUAUUUGAGGAUGUAGUUAAGGAUCCCUCAGCUGGAGUGCUAACCAUCAAAUAUGACACAGAAUCUGUCUCCAUGGUACAAUCUCCUGAGCAGUCUGAACCACCAACCCUUGAUUUGUCUGAUUCUCAAGAUACAGACAUCCUUUCAGAGAGUCCUUCCGGUAGAUGGCAGAGGCUGGACACAGAAG